GAUGAACGCUGGCGGCGUGCCUAAUACAUGCAAGUCGAGCGAAUGGAUUAAGAGCUUGCUCUUAUGAAGUUAGCGGCGGACGGGUGAGUAACACGUGGGUAACCUGCCCAUAAGACUGGGAUAACUCCGGGAAACCGGGGCUAAUACCGGAUAACAUUUUGAACCGCAUGGUUCGAAGUUGAAAGGCGGCUUCGGCUGUCACUUAUGGAUGGACCCGCGUCGCAUUAGCUAGUUGGCGAGGUAACGGCCCACCAAGGCAACGAUGCGUAGCCGACGUGGGAGGGUGAUCGGCAACGCUGGGACUGAGACACGGCCCAGACUCCUACGGGAGGCAGCAGUAGGGAAUCUUCCGCAAUGGACGAAAGUCUGACGGAGCAACGCCGCGUGAGUGAUGAAGGCUUUCGGGUCGUAAAACUCUGUUGUUAGGGAAGAACAAGUGCUAGUUGAAUAAGCUGGCACCUUGACGGUACCUAACCAGAAAGCCACGGCUAACUACGUGCCAGCCGCCGCAGUAA
rnacentral:rRNA from 1 species